rnacentral:lncRNA from 1 species
GGCAUAGUAUAUAAAGAGCUGCAUCGGCGCACCCCAUUGAGUCUACUCUUUGCGUUGUGACAGUCUGCGCGACCUUCUCACUAUGAUCGCUCGUAGCAUCACUCUGGCCCUGAUGGUGGUCGUGGCCCUGUCUGCCUUGGCACUGGCCAUUCCCGCACCCGAGGCCGAGGCCGACGCCAAGGCCAACAGGAGAUUCUUCUUCGGACAUGGAUUGGGUGGAUUCGGCGGCGGCUUCGGUGGAUUUGGUGGAUAUGGAGGAUAUGGAGGAUAUGGAGGAUACGGCUAUGGACACAGGCCCUAUGGAUUUGGAUACUUUGGCUAAGGACAGAAGCUGAGGAUUCGGACGAUCCUUCUCAACUCCUUCCCCGGAUGCUGACCGCUGGCAGGGCUGCGCAGAUCGUCACCAAACCUCUGCUUCUGCCUUGACAACCUGCCAACCUGGGAAGGAAAUGAAACUCUGCCUUUGGUUACUAUCUUCGUUCGACUUUCCCUGUUCACUAAGAAUGGUUCAAUAAAUUGGUGUUUGCCUUGAA